rnacentral:rRNA from 1 species
UACGUAGGGGGGCAAGCGUUGUCCGGAAUCAUUGGGCGUAAAGAGCGUGUAGGCGGCCCGAUAAGUCCGCUGUGAAAGUCCAGGGCUCAACCCUGGAAUGCCGGUGGAUACUGUCGGGCUCGAGUUCGGAAGAGGUGAGUGGAAUUCCUGGUGUAGCGGUGAAAUGCGCAGAUAUCAGGAGGAACAUCAAUUGCGAAGGCAGCUCGCUGGGACGUUACUGACGCUGAGACGCGAAAGCGUGGGGAGCAAACAGG